CCACGGCUCUGUCCAAUUAGGAAAAUGACCGCGAGGAGACGGAGAAGGGUGGGCGACGAGGAAGGGGAACCGAGACCGACCAAGGAGAGCCGUGGACACCCGGCCGGACGGCGAGCGCCUUCAACAGCUGAGGAGACUGAGGCACAGAAGAAUUUAAAAGCUUUCCAAGAAAAAAAGCUUUCCAAGGUCACAGCUAUGGAAUGACUGAGCCAGAAUUUGCAGCCAGAGUUUCUAGAUCACCUCCCUGCAAGAACCUGUCUGGGCAGUGACCCACUUCCUUCUCUGACACCUGAGUAGCUUCAGUAAUGGCCAUCUCCUGGGAUUGUGGGCAGGCAUGAAAGCAGGUGAUGCAUGACACGUGAUGCGUGAUACUUCAUUUGGUAAACGGUGAAGCCUGUGUGAAUGACCGUGAGGAAGUACUCGCAAGGGCCUACGGUCACAGACACCACCACCUUUAGCCCAGUCCCCUGAUCCUCUGAAACCCAGGAAGGAAGCCUUCAGAUUCACUCACACGAGAGAGAAAGAAAUCAGCUGUUCCAAUGCAGAAGCAAUAAAGGAAGCCUCCCCUGGGCUUUGCAGGAGCCCCCACGGCUGGAAUGGGAGGGAAUAUUUGUUAGUAUAAGGUUUAUUAAUGGGAGGAUGCAGUCAUGUCACAGAUCUUCAAGAAUGUUCGUAACCAUCUCUGAAACCUCUGAAAAUCUGAGGAAUCUAGUAAGCCAAAUAAAGGGAUGAAACACAGCUCUUCAGUAUUCCAAUCAACGUAUUCACCAGAGUAACUGCUGGGAGAUCAGCAGAUGAUUAUUAAAAUUUGUUGCUUUCAUUGGCAGAACCAAACAAACAUUAAAAAUUUAUGUCAAGGACUUCCCUGGUGGUCCAGUGGCUAAGGCUUCGUGCUCCUAAUACAGGGGGCCUGGAUUCCGUCCCUGUUCAUGGAACUAGAUCCCACAUGCCACGACCAAAAGAUCCUGCAUGCCGCCACUAAGACCCGUGCAGCCAGAUAAAGAAAUAUUUUUGUAAAUACUAUAUAUAUUCACAUAUAUAUCUUUUUGCCUUUUCAUACUGUUCAUGGGGUUCUCGCAAGAAUGCUGAAGUGGUUUGACAUUCCCUUCUCCAGUGGACCACGUUUUGUCAGAACUCUCCACCAUUACCAGUCCCUUGGACCGCAAGGAGAUCAAAGACCAAUCCUAAAGGAAAUCAACCCUGAAUAUUCAUUGGAAGGACUGAUGCUAAAACUGAAACUCCAAUACUUUGGCCACCUGAUUUGAAGAGCUGACUCAUUAGAAAAGACCCUGAUGCUGGGAAAGACUGAAGGGCAGGAAGAGAAGGGGAUGACGGGGGAUGAGAUGGUUGGAUGACAUCACUGACUCAAUGGACGAGUUUGAGCCAGCUCUGGGAAAUGGUGAAGAACAGGGAAGCCUGGUGCGCUACAGCCCAUGGGAUCACAAAGAGUUGGACACCACUGAGCAACUGAACAGUAUAAUAUAUAUGUGUAUAUACAUAUAUAUGUAUCAAUGACUUUGCAACAUCUAAUAUUCGGUUUUGAGAAUCAAACCUCCCCACUGGAUGGAUUCCAGUCAAUAGAAGAUGCAGGACCCUGGGGAUGGAACUUGAAGGGUUUCAGAGAGCAGAGGCAAACCUUGAGCUCCUGAAAGGAUGGGAUGUAGGAGAUGGCAGGAGGACCAGAGCUGGAGAGUCACUGAGAACUAAGUCAGGGACCGGAGUCCCACAGAAGUCAUAUUGGGCAGCAGCUCAAAAUUCUCAGAAGUGUAGUAGCAAUUUAGGGAGACUCAGGGGGGACCUCCCUGGUAGCUCAGCUGGUAAAGAAUCCUCCUGCAAUGCAGGAGACCCUGGUUCAAUUCCUGGGUCAGGAAGAUCCCCUGGAGAAGAGAUAGGCUAUACCCACUCCAGUAUUCUGGCUUGGAGAAUUCCGUGGACUGUAUAGUUCGUGAGGUCUCAAAGAGUCAGAUGCAGCUAAGCAACUUUCACUUUCAGGGUUUGUAGGAAAAACCCAAAGAAAGCAAGUCUUUGUAGCUAGAUAGAUGGGGUGAGCAUCUGACCUUUGUGCAUCAUUUUUCAGGGAAUGAUGAUAGGGUGAACCUCCCCAUCCCCCUUAUGACCAAGGGUGCAUAGUUGGUGGCUUUAUUCCCAUCAUUGUUUGGACCAGUAAAUUAACUGGCCUUAUUUGCAUAAAUAUAAGACUAAAAAUAAGCUAAAAGAAACAUGGGCCACCUACCAUAAACAGGAAACUGCUAGCUUCACUAAACAGUUAAAAACACAUAAAUACAUAAAAACCACAAUGAUGACAUGUAUUGCCAUGAGAAGGCUGAUGGAAAAUAAUUUGAUAUUGUAAGUCAAGAGAAGUUGAAAAAGCUUAUGUCUUUUGAUUAAUAGCUUUAGUUCUAGAAGUCUAUUGUAGGGGGAGUCAUCAAUGUGGACAAAGAUGUGAGUUAAGGAUGUUUAUCAAAAUGUUAUUUACAUUGGCAAAAAUUACAGCCAAAAAAAGGGAAAAGGACAGAAGGAAGAAAGGAAAUAACCCAAGUAUUCAACAGUGAGGAAAUGUUUAAAGAAGUUACUGCAUGCACGUUUGAUGUAACUGCAUUGCUAUUAAAAGCCAUGUUUUUGAAGAAUAUUUAAUGACCUGAAAAAUGUUUCUGAUGUAGUGAGUGAGAUACAAAAUUGCAUAUGCAAUUGUAGUCUUGCCCAGUUUUGUAUAUACAUAUAUAUUGAAUAUUUAUCCUGAAAAGUACAUAUAAAAAUAUGGAAGGAAAUACAAACAAGUUUAAAAGUUACUUGUGGGACUUCCCUGGUAUUCUAGUGGUUAAAACUUCCAUUGCAGGGAGCAUGGGUUUGAUCCGUGGUUGGGGAACUAAGAUUCUGCAUGCCACACAGUGUGGCCAAAAAUUUUAAAAUAAGUAAAAAUCAAUAAAAAGUUAUGUGUGUUUGUUGGAAUAUUAGAUACUUUUUAUUUUCUUCUUUGUCUCAAAGUAUUUGCCAAAUUUCUCUAAUGAUUAUAUUAUUUUAAACAAUAACCUAUAUAUUUAGAGAGCAAGACCUGGGUUUCUCAUUUAUUCUACAGUCAAUAGUGAAAAGACCCAGGCCAGGCCUUCGAGGACCUUCCAGUUUGCAGGAGAAACAGCCAAGCAAACAGGGACAGGAAGUUACACUACAGAAUGCAAUUAUUCCUCCUCCCCUGGAAACGUUUGAAGACCUAGGAGGAAAGAGGAACCAAGCAUUUUGGUUGCUGAUG